AAGUAAUUGUGUUACAAAGAAAUACAGUUACGUACCCUAAACCAAGGUCUCACAGAGAAAAGGAAGCCUGUGCACAGACUGGGUCAACUGUGUCUUCUCUACUGUUCCUACCUCAAAGUUGGUUUCUCCCUUGUUGCCUAGAAAAGCGUCGCCCUGACUGGGUAUGAUUGUUCUUCGAUCAGUAUAUGCAUAUAUAUGUAUUUUUCAUUCUUUCCUGGCUGAUUAUUGUGUGGGUGGUUGUUUGGCGCCUCCUAGCGGCCGGCUAGCAGUACAGGCCUCCUCCAGAGGCCGCUUGGGCUGACGGCACGGCUUGUGGCCCACAGGGGCUGCCACCUUUCUAGAGUUCUCUUGUCCUCUGGAGCUCCAGUGGCAGCUGCCGAGGGAGGGACAGCCCCCGCUGUGAGCUGAGCAGAGCUCGGGAGUCCUGCAGACUUCAGCAGAACAGUCCCGAUGGUGCCAGAGCUCUGGCGCGUCCCUUGUGAGUCAUAGCUCAGGCGUGUAGGGCUGUAGAGGGGAGGCUGUUACCGCGCUCCCGGCAUGAGCUUAGUGUGGGGCUGCCCGGGCUGGUCCCCAGCUCACCGCAGCUGCGGAGGCCCGACCCUCGGGACCCACCAGGCAUGAUGCAGGGGGCCGGGGACACCCCCCACGCCCGGUCGCGGGCCCAUGUGUGUCCUGGCCGUCUGAGGCUCUGGCCGAUUUUUUUUCCCAAGUGCCCAUGGAGAGUCAGGGACCGUCCUGUACCAUCUUCCGAGAGCCGGGAAGGGUCCGCCCGUGGGCUUUCCGAGCGCCGAAGGGGCCACAUGCUGCUCUGAGGGUGCCGCAGGUUCAGGGGGCUCCCUGCUUGGUGUCCACCCCCUCUGGUUUCCUCCUCUUCCCACCCUGCGGGUGGCUCGUCGCCCUGGCUGGGACGCGGCUGUGGGAGCGUGGUGGGAUGGCUGAGGCGCGGGCGUCAGAGGGUGUGGCCCGGCAGCCCCCGUUUCAGGGGUGGCUGUGUGGUCUGGAAGUGGCGGUCCAGGUCCUGGGCCUCUCCCACUCUGCAGCGGGGAGGAGGGGUCGGUGGGGAGUAGGGGCCGGCCGCCCCCCCUCGAGCUCUUCCCCGUCUUUCUGCCGCCCGAGUGGACCAGCAGACAGUGUGGGAGAGCGCUGGGAAGGAAGGUUGGCGGAGUUACACUCCAGACGGACGGGCUCAGGCCCCGCGCGCCACACUUGGCCACACUUGGCGCGUAGUGUGGACCCGGUGGGCCUCUGCCCUCGCCAUCGGCUGGCUUCUCUGUCCAGCCGCUGGGUCGACCAGAUGUCAGCCCCAAGGUUAGGAUUUGGCCUCCAGCUUGAAAUGUUUAAGACGGACUAGAUAGCGCUCGCCCGCGGCAGUACCGCUUAGGUCCAGCAGAGGGUGCGAUUACGGCUCACGUGCCCUCCACCUGCCCGGACUCACCCAGAGAUGCUGUCUCACCGUGUUGGCCCCGGAUAGUCUUGGACUCCUGGGUUCCAGGUAUCCUCCGUGGCCUCCAAAAGUGCUGGGAUUACAGGUGUGAGCCACUGUGCACGGUCUGGUCAUGUUUUUGAUGUGCUGAUUCUUUCCAGUCCAGAUGCAUAAUCUCAUGUCUGAACAUUCCUGCUGGUGUCAUUAUGACAUAUGACUUUACCCAGCACCAGAGUGAUUUGGUGCCCCUGCCCUGGCCUAGCCCAUGGAAGGGAUUGUGACAUAUCCCUGGACCCAGUACCGAGGUGGUGUGACUAUUCUACUGCCUUGGCACUACCCACAGGGGACACUGUGACAUCACUACAUCUUGUACCCAGGUGGUGUGAAUCUUCUCUCCAGCCUUGGCUCUUCCACAGGGGACACUGUAUCAUAUCGCUGGGCCCCACACAUAGGUUAUAUGACUCUCCUGCCUGUGCCCUGCCCAUGUGGGCCACUGUGACUUUUGCUGGGUCCAACACCCAGGUGAUGUAACUCUACUGCCUAGGUCCUGCCUACAGAAGAUCUUGUGACAUAUCCCUGCACCCAUCACACAGGUUCUGCCCAAAGAGGAUAUUGUGACAUGUCACUGGGCCUAAUACUAUGCUGACAUAUUCUUAUGCCUUGACACUGCCCUUAGAAGGCAUGGUGAUUGAUUGCUGGGCCCAGAACCAAUGUGAUGUGAGUCUCCUGCCUGGACCCUGCCUACAAGGUGCAUUGUGACAUAUCUCUGGGACCUUUAACUAUUUUAUGUGACUCUCCUCUCUUACCUGGAUGUUGCCCAAAAAGAGAUUGUGACAUAAAUUUGGGCCCAACACAUAGGUGAUGUGACUCUCCUCUCCUGCCUGUUCCUUGCCCACUGAAGAGUGAAUGACUUAUUGCCGAGUUCAGCACACAAGUGAUGGGAUUCUUCUGCCUGCUCACAGAAGUCAUUGUGACAUAUAUCUGGGCCUAUCACUGAGGUUAUGUGACUCUCUUCUUCCUGGAACCUGUCCACAGUGGGGAGUGUCACAUGUUGCUUGGCUCAGAACCUACAUGAUGUGAUUCUCUUCUUAUGCCUGGGCCCUGCCCACUGGAGUGAUUUUGACAUGUAGCUGGGCCCAGCCCCAAGGUUAUGUGACUCCACACAUCUUCCUGAGCCCUACCCACAGGGGGCAUUGUGUCAUAUCUCUGAGACCUUCAAUGAGGUGAUGCGACUCUUUUGUUAGGGCCCUCUUCUCAGGAUAUUGUGACAUUGCUGAGCCCAGCAUCUAGGUGAUGUGACUCUUCUCUACUGUUUGGUCUCUACCCAAAAAGGGAUUGUGACAUAUCACUCUGUCAAGAACCUAGAUGAGGAGAGGAUUGUAGCAUAUUCCUAAUGGAGCACCAAGGUGAUGUGACACUGCUGCCUGGUCCCUGCCCUCAGAGAAGAUUGUGACAUAUCACUAUCCCAAAACCCAGGUGUGAUUGUUACAUACACCUCUGCCCAGCACCUGAGUGAUUUGACUCUUCUGCUUGGGCCCAGUGUACAGAUGGGAUUGUGCCGCAUUGCUGGAGCCAGCACUUAGGUGAUGUGAGUCUAUUCUCUUGCCUUAGUGCUUUUCACGGAGGGCAUUGAGACAUCACUGGGCCUAGUGCCCAGGUGACGUGACUUUCCUCUACUUCCUGGGCUUUUCCCAAGAAGGGAUUGUAAUAUAUUGCUGGGACCAGAACCUAGGUGAUGUGACUCUCGUCUCCUGCCUGGUUCCUCUUGCACAUAUUGUGACAUGUGGCUGGUCCUGACACGUUGGUGAUGUGACUCUCCUGCAUGGGACUUGCCCACAGAGGUAUUACAACAUAUAUUUUCAUUCAUCAUCUAGAUGAUAUAAUUCUCCUCUUCUGCCUGGCCCUGCCAAAAAGUGGGAGAUUAUGGCAAAUCACUGAACCCAGCACCUAGGUGAUGUGACUCUUUUGUUUGGCCUGGGCCUCUCAUGUUUUGGGUAUUGUAAAAUAUCACUAGGCCCACCACCUAUGGGAUUGCAUGCCCCUACCUUGGCUCUGCCCGCAGGGACCUUGUGACAUAUAUCUGCACCCAUGACCUAGAAGAUGUGACAUUUAUUUUUUGCCUGCACCCUGCCCUGCACAGGAAUGAUUGUGACAUAUCCUUGGAACCAGACACCAGGUGAUGUGGCUCUUCUGCCUCUGUCUUGCCCACAGGGAGCAUUGU